CGCAACUAGAGUGUGCAGUAUGUGCAUGUCACACCCUGGAUUUUGCGGAAGCGUGGGUUUAUUUGGUGUGACUUCUUAAUACCAUAGUGUAACACCCCGAAAAUAUAAAUCUUUAUAUUAGAAAUUUAAGGAUUUCAUAAACAAGAAAUAACCAUGUAGAAAUUUUAACCUAGUUAAGAUUUUACAAGUCUUGAAAUAACUUACACUUGGUUAAAACACUAGUAUUUAAAACUAAAUAAAAAGUGAGGGACUAAAUCUGCCAAAGAAUGAAAGUUAUAGGCUGAUUAGUAACAAAACUCACCAAACACACCAUUUGUUGGUGUGUCUGGUCGAACAAGAGGAAACGGGCGACCAGGGUAUUCCCCAAACCCUAACUUCACACUAAAAUCUGCAAAUUGAAGCCCCAAAUCCGUUCCAAUCAAGUUCUAAACGCAAAUUAGCGAACACCUCGUCAUAAGGAUCAAAAGGUAUGUAGAAAUUUGAUGUUUUGAUUCACCAUGAAUUCUAGGGUAUUGAUGAAAAACUGAAAUUUAGCCUAGAUAUGUUAUGCAUGAACAAGUCUUGAAGUAAUAUGAUGUUUAGGGUUGAACCCUAGAUGAUUAUUAGUGAAAAUCAUUACAUGAUACUUGAAGAAAUUACAAUCACCAUUGUAGGUGAUUUAUGAUAUUGUAAAGUUAGACAAACACUAGGAUUAUGGUUUUUAAUCUAGUGAAAAGCUGAAUUGUAUGAUGAAAUUCAGCAAUUUAAAUGUUAAGUAUGUAAGAUUUGCUUAAUUGAAGUUAAUUUAGAUGUUAAAUUUCAAGUCAUGAACUUGGUAAUGAUUGUAGAAAAAUCUGACCCAUUAGGUGUUUGUUGAAAUGCCUAAGUGAUGGUUUUUAUGCUAAAUUUGAUGAAAACGCAGAUUUUGAUCAUGUCUCAUAAAUGAUGUGAUUAUGGUCAUGAAAAGAAUUCUAAACAAGUUAAAAAACUUCUAGGCAAAGAGUCCGGAUCAUCAAGCGGACAAGCCGGAGGGAAUUCACGGGGAAAAGGCGUGCUUUAAAGAUGAUUUCGUAAGCGAUCCCUCGUGGGAAAGCGAAACAUGAUAGCGAUUUUCAGGUUUUCUAGCAGAAGGGUGAUGAUCAAGCAUAUGCAUCCGGACCGAACACUUUAACAAAUGCUUCCGCACAUGAUCUUUAGUUUUAAAAACUAUGAAAACAAUUGCAGUUUCGUUUUGAAUAUGGUUUUGUAAGAACAAUACAUGUAUGUUGUGUCUAGUUAUGGUUUAAAAUAUUAAAAGUUUUUGUAAACUCUAAAUAUUUGGUAUCAAAUGCAUAGUCUUAU
rnacentral:lncRNA from 1 species